UACAGAGGUGGCAAGCGUUGUUCGGAAUUACUGGGCGUAAAGAGCGCGCAGGCGGUCGUUCAAGUCGCGUGUGAAAGCCCCCGGCUCAACUGGGGAGGGUCACGCGAUACUGAUCGACUCGAAGGCAGGAGAGGGAAGUGGAAUUCCCGGUGUAGUGGUGAAAUGCGUAGAUAUCGGGAGGAACACCAGUGGCGAAGGCGACUUCCUGGCCUGUUCUUGACGCUGAGGCGCGAAAGCCAGGGGAGCAAACGGG
rnacentral:rRNA from 1 species